rnacentral:rRNA from 1 species
UACAGAGGGUGCGAGCGUUGUCCGGAAUUAUUGGGCGUAAAGAGCUUGUAGGCGGUUUGUCGCGUCUGCUGUGAAAAUCCGGGGCUCAACCCCGGACUUGCAGUGGGUACGGGCAGGCUAGAGUGUGGUAGGGGAGACUGGAAUUCCUGGUGUAGCGGUGGAAUGCGCAGAUAUCAGGAGGAACACCGAUGGCGAAGGCAGGUCUCUGGGCCACUACUGACGCUGAGGAGCGAAAGCGUGGGGAGCGAACAGG